rnacentral:rRNA from 1 species
CAAGGAAGGCAGCAGGCGCGCAAAUUACCCACUCCCGGCACGGGGAGGUAGUGACGAAAAAUAACAAUACGGGACUCUUAUGAGACCCCGUAAUUGGAAUGAGUACACUCUAAAUCCUUUAACGAGGAUCUAUUGGAGGGCAAGUCUGGUGCCAGCAGCCGCGGUAAUUCCAGCUCCAAUAGCGUAUAUUAAAGUUGUUGCGGUUAAAAAGCUCGUAGUUGGAUCUCAGUUCCAGACAAGCGGUCCGCCUAACGGUGGUCACUGUUUGGCCUGAACAAUUUGCCGGUUUCUCUCGAUGAUCUUCGCUGAUUGUCUUGGGUGACCGGCGCGUUUACUUUGAAAAAAUUAGAGUGCUCAAUGCAGGCGCGACGCCUGAAUAAUGGUGCAUGGAAUAAUGGAAUAGGACCUCGGUUCUAUUUUGUUGGUUUUCGGAACACGAGGUAAUGAUUAAGAGGGACAGACGGGGGCAUUCGUAUUGCGGCGCUAGAGGUGAAAUUCUUGGACCGCCGCAAGACGAACUACUGCGAAAGCAUUUGCCAAGAAUGUUUCCAUUAAUCAAGAACGAAAGUUAGAGGUUCGAAGGCGAUCAGAUACCGCCCUAGUUCUAACCAUAAACGAUGCCAACCAGCGAUCCGCCUGGGUUCCUCAAAUGACUCGGCGGGCAGCUUCCGGGAAACCAAAGUUUUUGGGUUCCGGGGGAAGUAUGGUUGCAAAGCUGAAACUUAAAGGAAUUGACGGAAGGGCACCACCAGGAGUGGAGCCUGCGGCUUAAUUUGACUCAACACGGGGAAACUCACCCGGCCCGGACACUGGAAGGAUUGACAGAUUAAGAGCUCUUUCUUGAUUCAGUGGUUGGUGGUGCAUGGCCGUUCUUAGUUGGUGGAGCGAUUUGUCUGGUUAAUUCCGUUAACGAGCGAGACUCUAGCCUACUAAAUAGACGUUCCUAUCAUUUACGUAGGACGUUCUUCUUAGAGGGACAAGCGGCUUCUAGCCGCACGAGACAGAGCAAUAACAGGUCUGAGAUGCCCUUAGAUGUCCGGGGCCGCACGCGCGCUACACUGAAGGAAUCAGCGUGUGAUUUCCCGGUCCGACAGGACUGGGUAACCCGUUGAACCUCCUUCGUGAUAGGGAUAGGGGCUUGUAAUUGUUCCCCUUGAACGAGGAAUUCCCAGUAAGCGCGAGUCAUCAGCUCGUGUUGAUUAUGUCCCUGCCCUUUGUACACACCGCCCGUCGCUACUACCGAUUGAAUGGUUUAGUGAGGUCUUCGGACUGGCAUUCGGGGCGGCCUUCGGCCAUCUCGACGUGCCGGAAAGAUGACCAAACUUGAGCAUUUAGAGGAAGUAAAAGUCGUAACAAGGUUUCC